rnacentral:lncRNA from 1 species
CUUCUGAAAAGCUCUUGUCAGAAUUUCAUGUACUUUUGAUGUGUUUAAUUUUCCACCACUAAUGUGAAUUCUGAAGAAGUUGAUGAAGUUAUCAGAGGAGAGAUGUGUGUGUACAGUGGCAAGGGACUUUAUUUUCUCAUAAAAUAGGUCUUAUGCUAUAACCUGAAGAAACAGAAGCCUGAAUUUACGGUAUGAGAUAGACUAAAGCUAUGGAAAUUAGACAAAAAUAUAACAAUUGGGCAUACUUUCAAAAGAGAUUCUGUAAAAAGUAGGCAGAACAAAACAAACAAACAAACAAACAAACAAACAAAAACAGCCAUUGGUCAAACUUACUGGGCAAAACUGGACAUUCUCUGUAUUCACAGGGCUGUGCUUCCUUCAUUCAUUGCUUUCAGAUCUAGUGGAUGAUUUAUGAAUAGUGAUGCCAACAACAAGCAUUGCGCAGUCUGAGAGUCACCAGGAAACAUUUGCCACUGAGCAGAAAGUUUUGUGCUAGGAUACCAGAGCUGUUUUGAGGUGACAUGAUGGCAUUAUACAAGGGGUUGUGCCACUCUUGAAAUUAUUCUUUUUCCUUUGCUAUUUCUGUAUAUGAGUACUCAGAAGAAUUAGUGGUGUUAUUUCUUGUAAUAUCCUGUAAGCCUGUGGAUUGCUCUGACUUAAUCAUACCCAUGCAUUGCCUGUAUGUUUCCUAGGCUGUUGAAAAGACUUAAUGAAAGAAAGCAAAGCUUCCAGUGAGUCACAGCUGAUUAGUCAUAGGUGGGGUUGGCUUCAAGGGUUGGCUGCCCUCUUGCAGCUCUGUUCUGCAAAAUUCCCAGCAACUGUCGUGCUUUCUCCCACACUGCCCUCAAGAGUGGGAAGAACUCAGUAAAUAUCCAUGCAGUCACCUUGCUGUCCUUUAAAUCCGGCUCUCAAAAUGACUACAGAAGGAAACAAGCUCAACAGGUCAGAAUAAUUUAUCUUGUAGAAGAUGGAACAAGGAACCCUAUUACUGGAAAUCCCUUCCUGGCAACAGUCAGUCAUGGUGUGAUCUCCUUAUUGAAGAUGAUAUUCCCAGGUUUGGAAACUGUUGGGUUGGCAUCACUCAUGGGAACACUCUUCUUUGGUUUGACUGGGGGAUUGGCAGGAGCAAAGAUGAGCCACGUAAGCAAAAAGCCCCAGAAA